rnacentral:rRNA from 1 species
AUUGAACGCUAGCGGGAUGCUUUACACAUGCAAGUCGAACGAGUGGCGGACGGGUGAGUAAUAUAUCUGAACGUGCCCGGUGGCGGGGGAUAACUACUGGACAGAGUGGCUAAUACCGCAUACAAUUGGAUCGGCCGAUAUCGGAUUAGGUAGGUGGGGGGGUAAAGGCCCACCAAGGCAACGAUCCGUAGCUGGUCUGAGAGGAUGACCAGCCACACUGGAACUGAGACACGGCCCAGACUCCUACGGGAGGCAGCAGUGGGGAAUUUUGGACAAUGGGGGAAACCCUGAUCCAGCCAUCCCGCGUGUAUGAGAAGGCCUUCGGGUUGUAAAGUACUUUUGGCAGAGAAGCGGUAUCUGCAGAAUAAGCACCGGCUAACUACGUGCCAGCAGCCGCGGUAAUAC